rnacentral:miRNA from 13 species
CCAGUGGAGAGGCUGUUACUUU